rnacentral:rRNA from 1 species
UGGGGAAUAUUGCACAAUGGGCGAAAGCCUGAUGCAGCAACGCCGCGUGAGUGAUGAAGGCCUUCGGGUUGUAAAGCUCUGUCUUCUGGGACGAUAAUGACGGUACCAGAGGAGGAAGCCACGGCUAACUACGUGCCAGCAGCCGCGGUAAUACGUAGGUGGCAAGCGUUGUCCGGAUUUACUGGGCGUAAAGGAUGCGUAGGCGGAUACUUAAGUCAGAUGUGAAAAUCCCGGGCUUAACUUGGGAACUGCAUUUGAAACUGGGUAUCUAGAGGGCGGGGGAGGAAAGGGGAAUUCCUAGUGUAGCGGUGAAAUGCGUAGAGAUUAGGAAGAACACCAGUGGCGAAGGCGACUUUCUGGACCGUAACUGACGCUGAGGCAUGAAAGCGUGGGGAGCAAACA